GGUCUGAUGCCAUGUCCCCGGUAGCGCAUAUAUGCAGUGACCGGGGAUGCUAUAUUUAGAUAUAUUGUAUUAUUUGCACAUUU